CUACGGGAUGCAGCAGUGGGGGAUAUUGCACAAUGGAGGAAACUCUGAUGCAGCAACGCCGCGUGAGGGAAGAAGGUUUUCGGAUUGUAAACCUCUGUUUUUAGUGACGAAAAAAAUGACGGUAGCUAAAGAGGAAGCCACGGCUAACUACGUGCCAGCAGCCGCGUGAAUACGUAGGUGGCAAGCGUUGUCCGGAUUUACUGGGUGUAAAGGGUGCGCAGGCGGGACUGCAAGUUGGAUGUGAAAUACCGAGGCUCAACCUCGGAGCUGCAUCCAAAACUGUAGUUCUUGAGUGAAGUAGAGGUAAGCGGAAUUCCGAGUGUAGCGGUGAAAUGCGUAGAUAUUCGGAGGAACACCAGUGGCGAAGGCGGCUUACUGGGCUUUAACUGACGCUGAGGCACGAAAGCAUGGGUAGCAAACAGGAUUAGAUACCCCCGUAGUC
rnacentral:rRNA from 1 species